rnacentral:rRNA from 1 species
UAGGGAAUCUUGCACAAUGGGCGCAAGCCUGAUGCAGCAACGCCGCGUGCGCGAUGAAGGCCUUCGGGUCGUAAAGCGCUUUUCUGGAGGACGAGAAGGGACGGUACUCCAGGAAGAAGGCUCGGCUAACUACGUGCCAGCAGCCGCGGUAAAACGUAGGAGCCUAGCGUUAUCCGAAUUUACUGGGCGUAAAGCGCGUGCAGGCGGCUUGGUAAGUUGGCUGUGAAAUCUCCCGGCUCAACUGGGAGGGGACGGUCAAGACUGCCAGGCUGGAGGCAGGGAGAGGGAGGUGGAAUUCCCGGUGUAGUGGUGAAAUGCGUAGAGAUCGGGAGGAACACCUGUGGCGAAAGCGGCCUCCUGGCCCUGACCUGACGCUGAGACGCGAAAGCUAGGGGAGCGAACGGGAUUAGAAACCCCGGUAGUCCUAGCCGUAAACGAUGUCGACUGGGCGGCGGUGGGUAAAGCCAUCGGUGCCGCAGCUAACGCGCUAAGUCGACCG